GAUCUAGACUCCAGGAGCAUUACACCUGCCCUCUAGGCAUUUUCCAGACAAAGGCACCCAGAAGGAGAAGCGACUUACCCAGGUGACUUCUGGAUACCAGUGUUCCCAAAAGAGUGACUGCAGUUGUUGAAUUAACAGGGGUGGAAAAGAUAUUCAGAG